rnacentral:tRNA from 1 species
AGGAGCGUGGCUUAGUGGUUAAGGCAUUCCGCUCAAGAUCGUAAGGUCGUGGGUUCAAUUCCCGUCGAUGCGU